rnacentral:snRNA from 1 species
UGUUUGAACUUUAAGGAGCUC